UAAAAAGAAAUGUUCUUAGGGCUGC
rnacentral:piRNA from 1 species